rnacentral:rRNA from 2 species
AACCCCAUGUUAUAUUAUAUGUGGCUAUUUCUGCUCCAUGGUUAACUAAAUAGCCGCAGUACUCUGACUGUGCAAAGGUAGCAUAAUCAUUUGGCCUCUAAUUAAGGUCUGGCAUGAAAGAAACCAUGGGUGGUAGCUGUCUUGAUAUGCUUUGAUGAAUUUAAUGUUCAAGUGCAAAUUCUUGUAAAUAUAAAAUAGACGAGAAGACCCUAGAAGCUUAGUUAUAUUUUUGUUGGGGCGACAGGAUUACAGUAAACUAAUUCUAUGUGACAUGAUUAUUAAAAUAAGUUAAAGCUACUCUAGGGAUAACAGCAUAAUAUUUAAAAGUUUGUGACCUCGAUGUUGGACUAGGUAUGUUACCCCUUAGAAAGGGGAGUCAUAAGCUCUGUUCGAGCUAUUAUACCUACAU